CGUCUUCGGCGUCCGAGUUGUAAUUUGAAGAAGGUAUCUUUGAGGCUGGCUCUUGUCUAUGUUCCUUGGAACAGGACGUCACAGAGGGUGAGAAUCCCGUGCGAUGAGAUGCCCAGUUUCGUGUAAAGUUCCUUCGACGAGUCGAGUUGUUUGGGAAUGCAGCUCUAAGUGGGUGGUAAAUUCCAUCUAAAGCUAAAUAUUGGCGAGAGACCGAUAGCGAACAAGUACUGUGAAGGAAAGAUGAAAAGAACUUUGAAAAGAGAGUGAAAAAGUACGUGAAAUUGUUGAAAGGGAAGGGCUUGAGGUCAGACUUGGUUUACCAGGCCAGCAUCAGUUUGGGUGGCAGGAUAAUAGCUAAGGAAAGUGGCACGAUUUCGGUUGUGUGUUAUAGCCUUGGUUGAUACUGCCUGCCUAGACUGAGGACUGCGUCUUUGACUAGGAUGCUGGCAUAAUGACC
rnacentral:rRNA from 1 species